CCCCGAUCUGGAAAAGCGCCAGUUCGGGCUGGUGGCGGCCACCGGGGAGAGCCUCACCUUCACCGGGGCCGAGUGCCACCCCUGGGCCGGGGG
rnacentral:tRNA from 1 species